UACGUAGGGUGCAAGCGUUGUCCGGAAUUAUUGGGCGUAAAGGGCUCGUAGGCGGUUUGUCGCGUCGGGAGUGAAAACUCAGGGCUUAACCCUGAGCCUGCUUCCGAUACGGGCAGACUAGAGGUAUGCAGGGGAGAAUGGAAUUCCUGGUGUAGCGGUGAAAUGCGCAGAUAUCAGGAGGAACACCGAUGGCGAAGGCAGGUCUCUGGGCAUUAACUGACGCUGAGGAGCGAAAGCAUGGGGAGCGAACAGG
rnacentral:rRNA from 1 species